AGAAAAAGAGAGAGAGAGAGAGAGAGAGAGAGAGAGAGAGAGAGAGAGAGAGAGAGAGAGAGAGAGAGAGAGAGAGCACUGGCCUCCCUAACCCCCUCUUCCAUUCAUCUCUUAUUCAUUAACUCAUUCAGAUUCACUCAUUAAUAUUGCAAAUUAUUCAUAUUAUUUUUAUCAUUUAUUUUCAUUAUUCAUUUUCAUCGCUUUCGUCUUUCAUUUUCAUUCAAAUCGCGUUUUUUUCUUAAUUUUUCCUCAUUUUCUAUAAUAUUUUCCUAUGACAGAUUUCUCUCUAUUUCCAUUUUCCUUCAUUUUUCGCUGUUUUUCCUUCUUUCCAUAUAACAAGGCGUAUUUUGUUUUAAUUUUUUAUAUAUAUUUUAUCACUAUCUCAUUUUCAUAUGCGGCGCUUCUAAUAAUUUCGUACAUGUGAAUUAAUAAAAGCAUUUUCCAAACACUCCAUUUUCUCUCGAUAGUACAAAUUCUCCCCUUUCCUUCCUUCCUUCCCAGCCAAUCUUUACCAAUAUCCCGAACGCAUUAACGUAGACACCCACAUUAAUAUAAGAGACUUCAGAGGGUAUUUAAGUGUCAUUAGCAAGCGUUGAUAGCAUAGCGUUACCAUAAGUAUUCGUAAAAGACCCUUCCUUGCUUCCUUCCUUCCUUCCCAGCCAAUCUUUACCAAUAUCCCGAAUCUAUUAACGUAGACACCCACACUGAUAUAAGAGACUUCAGAGGGUAUUUAAGUUGUCAUUAGCAAGCGUUGAUAGCAUAGCGUUACCAUAAGUAUUCGUAAAAGACCCUUCCUUCCUUCCUUCCUUCUCCCCCUACCCAAUCUUUACCCACAUUAAUAUAAGCAGUAUGGGACUUCAGGAGGAUUAUUAGAUAUCAUUAUAGCAAGCGUUGACAGCAUAGCGUUAACGUAAGUAUUCGUAACAAGACCAUUCCUUAUAGAUUGUGAAGUAUGAAGGUUGAUUAUAGCGUUCGUAAUAAGGCCACUAGCAUUCCUGAGAGAGAGAGAGAGAGAGAGAGAGAGAGAGAGAGAGAGAGAGAGAGAGAAAAGAAUGAGUAUAAAAAUAGCCCUCGUAAUAAUAGCAGUCCUUACAGAUAGACAGAAUAUAGAUUUUUUUUUUACAAGGGCAAGAAAGAGUGAAGAAAAAGCCCGCUACUUCUCGCUCCCAUAACAGAAUAGCAGUGUUAAUAAUAGUUUACGUAAUAAUAGCAUUCCUUAUAGAUAGACAGAAUAUAGAUAGCGAAGAAUAGGCACAGCAACAGCUUUCGUAAUUGAAGCCCUCCCUCUCUCUGCCCACGCUACGCAGGCACGAUUUUGCAACACGAAUAAAACCAAACAAUAUCCCGGAGUGGUCUAAAUAUAUAUACACAAGUUUGCCAUUCAAAAGCCCAACAUAGAAAACGGGUAAACGCCAUAGAAAAAGGGUGUUAAUGAGGGUAGCGAUGCAAGAAUAACGAAAUGUAUAGAAAAAAUCACGAAAUAAAUAAUAAGCCAUGUAAUAGAGGCACAUUCACUAAUAUAUAAGCUUGCCAUUCAAAAGCCCAACAUAGAAAACGGGUUAACGCCAUAGAAAAAGGGUGUUAAUGAGGGUAGCGAUGCAAGAAUAACGAAAUGUAUAGAAAAAAUCACGAAAUAAAUAUACGGGGAUACGAAAGCCAUGUAAUAGAGGCACAUUCACUAAUACAUAAGCUUGCCAUUCAAAAGCCAGACACAGAAAACGAGAAAGCAUCAUAGAAAACCGGUUAAAAGGGGAGCCAAUGUAUAAAUAAUUAAAUAUAUACAAAAAUAAUAAAUAAAUAUAUAGGCACACGAAUAUAGCAUCAAUAAAGACUCCUCCAAUAACACAUAAGCUUGCCAUUCGAAAGCCAGGCACAGAAACCGAGGAUGCAUCAUAGAAAACCGGUUAAAAGGGGAAACAAUGCAAGACAGUGGAAAUAAAUAUAUAAGCAUACGAAUAUAGCAUCAAUAAAGGCUCCUCUAAGAACACAUAAGCUUGCCAUUCAAAAGCCAGGCACAGAAAACGAGGAAGCAUCAUAGAAAACCGAUUAAAAGGGGAAACAAUGCAAGACAGAGAAAAUCUAUACAAUAAUACGUAAUAAAUGAAAUAGGUACAUACAUUAAGCAUACAGCGAUACAUUCAAUAGGGAAAUAGCUUACCUUUUAGAAUCAUGCAGAAAAUAAUGCCGAAAUAAAACGUGAAGCUGAAAAAAA